rnacentral:rRNA from 1 species
AACGAACGUUGGCGGCGUGGAUUAGGCAUGCAAGUCGAACGAAUCCCACCUGGGUAACUGGGUGGGGGAAGUGGCGAAAGGGGCAGUAAGGCGUGGGUAACCUACCCUGGGGACGGGGAUAGCCUUCCUAACGGAAGGGUAAUACCCGGCGAGUUGGUCGAGGGGCAUCUCUUGACCAGGAAAUGAAUUUCGCCUUGGGAGGGGCUCACGUGGUAUUAGCUAGUUGGUAGGGUAACGGCCUACCAAGGCCAAGAUGCCUAGCAGGUGUGAGAGCACGACCUGCGCCACUGGCACUGCGACACUGGCCAGACUCCUACGGGAGGCUGCAGUCGAGGAUCUUCGGCAAUGGGCGCAAGCCUGACCGAGCGACGCCGCGUGUGCGAUGAAGGCCUUCGGGUUGUAAAGCACUGUCGAGGGGGAGGAAAGCCCGCAAGGGUCUGACUAAUCCCUGGAGGAAGCACGGGCUAAGUUCGUGCCAGCAGCCGCGGUAAGACGAACCGUGCGAACGUUGUUCGGAAUCACUGGGCUUAAAGGGCGCGUAGGUGGGCGGCCAAGUCAGGGGUGAAAUCUUUCGGCUCAACCGGAAAACAGCUUCUGAUACUGGUCGUCUUGAGCGGGGUAGGGGCAUGUGGAACUUCCGGUGGAGCGGUGAAAUGCGUAGAUAUCGGAAGGAACGCCGGUGGCGAAAGCGACGUGCUGGACCUCUUCUGACGCUGAGGCGCGAAAGCUAGGGGAGCAAACGGGAUUAGAUACCCCGGUAGUCCUAGCCCUAAACGAUGGGUACUAGAUUGUGGACUAAACAUGGGUUCACAGUCGAAGCAAAAGUGUUAAGUACCCCGCCUGGGGAGUAUGGUCACAAGGCUG